CCUACGGGGGGCAGCAGUGAGGAAUAUUGGUCAAUGGGCGCGAGCCUGAACCAGCCAAGUAGCGUGAAGGAUGACUGCCCUACGGGUUGUAAACUUCUUUUAUAAAGGAAUAAAGUGAGGCACGUGUGCCUUUUUGUAUGUACUUUAUGAAUAAGGAUCGGCUAACCUCGUGCCAGCAGCCGCGGUAAUACGGAGGAUACGAGCGUUAUCCGGAUUUAUUGGGUUUAAAGGGAGCGUAGAUGGGUUGUUAAGUUAGUUGUGAAAGUUUGCGGCUCAACCGUAAAAUUGCAAUUGAUACUGGCAGUCUUGAGUGCGGUUGAGGUAGGCGGAAUUCGUGGUGUAGCGGUGAAAUGCUUAGAUAUCACGAAGAACUCCGAUUGCGAAGGCAGCCUACUGGACUGCCACUGACGUUGAUGCUCGAAAGUGUGGGUAUCAAACAGGAUUAGAUACCCGGGUAGUC
rnacentral:rRNA from 1 species